rnacentral:rRNA from 1 species
UACGUAGGUGACCAGCGUUGUCCGGAAUCAUUGGGCGUAAAGGGCGCGUAGGUGGCCCGGUCAGUCAGUGGUGAAAGCGCGGGGCUCAACUCCGCGUCGGCCAUUGAUACUGCUGGGCUUGAGCACUGUAGAGGCAGGCGGAAUUCCGGGUGUAGCGGUGGAAUGCGUAGAGAUCCGGAAGAACACCGGUGGCGAAGGCGGCCUGCUGGGCAGUAGCUGACACUGAGGCGCGACAGCGUGGGGAGCAAACAGGG